rnacentral:rRNA from 1 species
CAAUAGCGUAUAUUAAAGUUGUUGCAGUUAAAAAGCUCGUAGUUGGAUUUCUGGUAGGAUGACUGUGCCCUCAGUAGAGUGUGCGCUGGCGUCUUGCCAUCCUUCUGUUAACCUUUGGGAGCUUCACCGCUCCCUUUGGGGCUCAGAUAUUUUACCUUGAGAAAAUUAGAGUGUUUCAGGCAGGCUAGCGCCGGAAUACAUUAGCAUGGAAUAAUGGAAUAGGACUUUUGCCUCUUCUGUUGGUCAUGGGGUUCGAGUAAUGAUUAAUAGGGAUAGUUGGGGGCAUUAGUACUUCACUGUCAGAGGUGAAAUUCUCGGAUUUGUGAAAGACUAACUUAUGCGAAAGCAUUUGCCAAGGAUGUUUNCAUUA